GACGAACGCUGGCGGCGUGCUUAACACAUGCAAGUCGAACGGAAAGGCCCUGCUUUUGUGGGGUGCUCGAGUGGCGAACGGGUGAGUAACACGUGAGUAACCUGCCCUUGACUUUGGGAUAACUUCAGGAAACUGGGGCUAAUACCGGAUAGGAGCUCCUGCUGCAUGGUGGGGGUUGGAAAGUUUCGGCGGUUGGGGAUGGACUCGCGGCUUAUCAGCUUGUUGGUGGGGUAGUGGCGUACCAAGGCUUUGACGGGUAGCCGGCCUGAGAGGGUGACCGGGCACAUUGGGACUGAGAUACGGCGCAGACUCCUACGGGAGGCAGCAGUGGGGAAUAUUGCACAAUGGGCGGAAGCCUGAUGCAGCAACGCCGCGUGCGGGAUGACGGCCUUCGGGUUGUAAACCGCUUUCGCCUGUGACGAAGCGUGAGUGACGGUAAUGGGUAAAGAAGCACCGGCUAACUACGUG
rnacentral:rRNA from 1 species